AAGCGCCGGAUGCGCCGUUUUUUAUGGACGCAUAUCAAGUCAAGGUUCUAAACAUGACACGGUUGCUCUGGGGCGUCACUGAUUGUUAUCACAAUACUGUUUCACCGACCCGCAAAAAUAAUGGCGACCAAAACUAACGGCGAUGUAAUAUUCAUUUUAGAGCUACUUGUUUCAUAAGUUGUCCGAAAAUAGAAAUAAACAAAUUGCGAAAAAGUUAAUAUUCCCGGA